rnacentral:rRNA from 1 species
GUGUAAGUCCAUAUCGCCCUGCAGCCCAAGACUGGUUGCACACUGAAGCUAAGCAGGGCUGAGCCUGGUUAGUACCUGGAUGGGAGACCUCCUGGGUCUUUCGAAAAGUGUAGAGG